rnacentral:rRNA from 1 species
CUGUUCGCCAUUUAAAGUGGUACGCGAGCUGGGUUUAGAACGUCGUGAGACAGUUCGGUCCCUAUCUGCCGUGGGCGUUGGAAGAUUGAAGGGGGCUGCUCCUAGUACGAGAGGACCGGAGUGGACGAACCUCUGGUGUUCGGGUUGUGUCGCCAGACGCAUUGCCCGGUAGCUAAGUUCGGAAUUGAUAAGCGCUGAAAGCAUCUAAGCGCGAAGCGAGCCCUGAGAUGAGUCUUCCCUGACAGUUUAACUGUCCUAAAGGGUUGUUCGAGACUAGAACGUUGAUAGGCAGGGUGUGUAAGCGUUGUGAGGCGUUGAGCUAACCUGUACUAAUUGCCCGUGAGGCUUAACCAUACAACACCCAAGGGGUUUUGUA